AUGGACACGGCGCGGCGCUCGCCGGUCUGCCUCGACCUCAUGGUCGGGCUUCCCAUGGUCCGCGAGCCGUCUCCGGCGAGGUGCGCCGGAAUGAGAGCCGACGCUGGCAUUGUUGGCUCGGCCUGUGGCAGAGCAGCUUCCACCACCAUGACCAACGGCGAGGCUAAAAUCCUGGAGGCCAAGUUCACGGAGGUGAGCGAGGAGAACCGGAGGUUGACAGAGAUGAUCGGUUACCUGUACGCUAAUAACCAGAACUUCGCGCGACAGGGCCCCGAAGGCGAGGGCGAGCAGCCCGCGAGUACAGCCGCGUCGCCGACAUCGCCGGUGGGCAAGAAAAGGGGCAGGGAGAGCAUGGAGACGUCGGAUUCCGGCGAUGCCAACAGCGACAAGAAGAUAAACAUGGUCGAGGCCGAGCAUGUCGACGUCAAGAGCCCGCUGAGCAACGGCACUUGCCGGAGAAUCAAGGUCAAGAGGGUCUGCACCAGGAUCGACCCAUCGGACACGAGCCUCGUUGUGAAAGACGGGUAUCAAUGGCGGAAGUACGGACAGAAGGUGACACGGGAUAAUCCCUCCCCCCGAGCCUACUUCCGAUGCGCCUUCGCGCCGUCCUGCCCUGUCAAGAAGAAGGUAUCCUACAAACUCCGCCCAAUUCGACGAGCAUUGAGCUGCAGCACCAUCUGGUGCUUGUACGGUCUGAAAAGCUUGUGCUCUGUCACUGAUUUCUUGGUACGAUCCAUGGUGGUGCAGGUGCAGAGAAGCGCGGAGGACAGCUCGGUGGUGGAGGCGACGUACGAGGGCGAGCACAACCACCCGCGCCCCACGGGGGCCAGCGAGCUGCCGAGCUGCGCGGCGCAGGGCGGCGGCUCGGUGCCGUGCUCCAUCUCCAUCAACUCCUCCGGCCCGACCAUCACGCUGGACCUCACCAAGAACGGGGGAGGCGUGCAGGUCGUCGAGGCAGGGGAGGCGCAACCGGACCUGAAGAAGGUGUGCCGGGAGGUCGCGUCGCCGGAGUUCCGGGCGGCUCUGGUGGAGCAGAUGGCCCGCGCGCUCACCGGCGACCGAAAGUUCACGGACGCGCUCGCCGCCGCGAUCCUGCGGAAGCUGCCCGAUUAUUAG
rnacentral:rRNA from 1 species